rnacentral:rRNA from 1 species
CGAAGGGGGCGAGCGUUGUUCGGAUUUACUGGGCGUAAAGGGCGCGCAGGCGGCGGACCAAGUCAGGCGUGAAAGCCCCGGGCUUAACCUGGGAACUGCGUCUGGGACUGGUUUGCUAGAGUUCGGGAGAGGAGAGUGGAAUUCCCAGUGUAGGGGUGAAAUUCGUAGAUAUUGGGAAGAACACCGGUGGCGAAGGCGGCUCUCUGGACCGAGACUGACGCUGAGGCGCGAAAGCGUGGGGAGCAAACAGGAUUAGAUACCCUGGUAGUCCACGCUGUAAACGAUGUGUGCUAGACGUUGGGGAGCCUAGCUCUUCGGUGUCGCAGCUAACGCGGUAAGCACACCGCCUGGGGAGUACGGCCGCAAGGUUA